rnacentral:rRNA from 1 species
UACGUAGGGCGCAAGCGUUGUCCGGAAUUAUUGGGCGUAAAGAGCUCGUAGGCGGUGUGUCGCGUCGGCCGUGAAAACCUGCAGCUUAACUGUGGGCUUGCGGUCGAUACGGGCAGGCUAGAGUUCGGUAGGGGAGACUGGAAUUCCUGGUGUAGCGGUGAAAUGCGCAGAUAUCAGGAGGAACACCGGUGGCGAAGGCGGGUCUCUGGGCCGAUACUGACGCUCAUGCACGAAAGCGUGGGGAGCAAACAGG